rnacentral:misc_RNA from 1 species
UCUGGCUCAAGGGGGAUGCUCCAUGA